rnacentral:ncRNA from 1 species
AAUGGCAAUUACAAUGGGAAGCAAGGCUGUAAGGCAGAGCAAAUUCAAAAAGAUUGCCUCAGUUCGGAUUGUUCUCUGCAACUCAGGAACAUGAAG